rnacentral:misc_RNA from 1 species
UGUCAUCCGCCAUUGCACAAGACACGACACGCUCGCGUCGCCUAUUGGUUUCAACAACGGAGAAGCUUUCAGCCUGUCAUAGUUAAGAAGAUCCAGCAAGAUGGUCUGGGGCCAGAACCAGAAUCAACAGAACUAUGUGGGGCAAAUGGGAAUGGGAAACAUGAACAUGCAAGGCAUGGGCUCACUUGGAAUGGGAGCAGGUGGGAGGGGCAUUCUGGGGGAACCCCCUGUGUCAGGCAGCAACAUGGGUAUUAGUGGGCUCAACAAUAUGCAAGGAAUGAUGGGCAGCAGCAGCAGCAGUGACAACAUCGACACCAUGAUUCAACAGCGACGUCUUCAACAGCAACUUAGUUUGAGAGAGUCCCAGUUGGCUUUGGCAAGUAACUUGCUGCAGAAACAGAACCAGCUGAUUAUGGAUGUGGGGAUGCCUGGAAACAUUGGCCCAAUGUUACCCAGUCCACCAGGCAUGUCACGGUCAAUGAUUCCCUCCUUGCUUGAUAUGCCAUCAAGACAUAACAAGCGUUCAGUGCCAUCAAUGAACCGAGAUCUGGAUAUCAAGCGUCGACGAAGGGAUUCGUCUUCCCCAAGUGACCACCAGAGGGGGCGAAACCGCAGCUCAGAUUUCGAUAGAAGGCGAGAUUUGGACCGUUAUUCUCCUAAUCGAAGACGAGAAGAACACACAAGUCGCAGAGAUAGACCUAGUCGCUUCAGUCGACGAGAUUCAGAUGAAUUACCGCACCGAAGGAGUAGGAAUGAACAUGAGGAAUAUGAUCCUGCCAAGCCAACUGAUGAUGAGAUGCCGGGGCUUGAGCUAGCAGACAAAUAUCGCUUUGAUGAUCGUGCACAGAGGCCACCAGUCGGUGAGAAAUCUCCUUUCUACUGCCAUGUGUGUGACAUGGAGUGCUGCAAUGAACAGAACUUCCGGGAUCACAUGUCCAGUACAAGGCACAAGGACAGAAUGUCUGAUGUCCUGAACGUAACAAGCAAGAAAUCUAGUCAUGUCGAGGCACGCCUCAAAGCACAGGAGCAUCUGAAGCGCAUAGAAAGCACCAGAGUUGGCUUCUGCAAGGUGUGUGACCAGGAGCUUGGCAUCCCCUUCCUGCGACACAAGCUGACCACUCUACACAAGAAACCGGAGAUGCAGGUGAGGAAGGGAUGUGGCUGGUGUGGCGUGACGAACUUCCUUAACUUCUCCGAGGUCCUCAAACACAGAGAGAGACAGGUUCACAAGGAGAAUGCUGCUAAAUAUGGAAAGAAGCCAGAAGUAAAUUCUGAUACGAGGAGGACUGACAUGAGAUCAGGACGAUCAUCCAACCUAGUUACGGUAGAUAGUGUUGGUUACAGCCCGAAUGGAGAGGACAGAAGGUCUAGACCAAGGACAGCAGGUCGACCUGGAUAUUCCUCUAGAUCAUCUGCAUCGGGCAGAUCUGAGACAUCCCGAUCUGGAACAUCAAGAUCAGCUACGUCAGCCAAAUCUGACACUAAGGAGGUAGACCUAUGUCCUGAGUUGCAGUUUGAAGCGGAGACAGCUAUUGGUCAGAACUAUGUUAUUCCUGUGUCUGGUUUCUUCUGCAAGCUGUGUCACAAGUUCUACAACACCGAAACAGCUGCCAAGGUUACCCACUGUCAGUCGCAGGCACACUUCACCAUGUUCAAGAAGGCCAAAAAUGCUGCUAAAGCACGAGCCUUGGCUCAGAAGAAGACCUCAACUCCUGUCGGUGCUGAGGAUGAAACGAAACCGGUCAAGGAGGAUACAGACAGUGCCCAGGCUGAGCAGGAAGGGGAGGAGAAGGACAGGGAGGAGCAGGAGGCUGCUGAGAAGGAUGAGAAGACAGAAGAUGAGGGCCUGGAAGAGGCAGAGAACCAAAAUGGAGAAAAUGAAGAUGCCAAGGGUCCAAAUGAAAGUGAGGAUGGCCAAGGUGGGAUGGCCAAGGUGAGACAGAGGAAGGUCAAGGUCAGGCUUCUGAAGCUGCUGAAGAAUUUGACCAGGAUGAGGAAGCUAACGGAGGUAUGAAGGCAGAAGCUGAUGAUUAUCCUGAGGAGGAUGAAAAGCAUUUGACAGAGGAAGAGCAAGAGGAGAAGCUUUUGGAAAAGGAUGAUAAUGAGUCAGAGACUGGAGAAAUGCUGGGAGAUAUGUUUGCUGAUGACGAUGAAGAUGAUACUGCUAUUAUAGAUUUAGCAGAUGUGAGCUCAGAGGCAGCAGGUGAUGAGAAGGACACAGAGAUAUCUGUCCAAGAAUCUGAGGAGGUAGCAGAGCAGGUUGAUGAAGUUGUUGAGGAAGCCCCAGCCGCUGAUACCUCUCCUGUUGUUAAAGGAAGAGGCCGGGGUAGAGGCCGAGGAGUGGGGCGGAGAGGAAGAAGGGGAAGAAAGUGAAGGAACUGGGUGAAUCUGUGAGAGGAUGUAAGUGUGAGUUGUGUGAAUUACCUUUCUUGUGACACAUUUAAUUGAGCUUCUUUGGUAAACAUUGUCAUCUCUUGCAACUUUUUAGGCUUAAUGAAGUGUGGAACACGCAUCAUGUCAUCCAAAGUUUGAGUUGUUCAAAAAGCAGUCAAUUUUAACUCUGUUUAAUCAACUGCAACUUCACCUGCUUGUUCUUGUUCCAUACAACAAAUAUUGGACCGGGUUAUUUUCAUAUUGUUCACAUUGAUUUACAAUACUUGUUAAAUUAUUCAUUAGAACUCUAUAUUGCUUUCAUACUUCAGUUGUACAUAUACAUGGCAUAUGUACCUAUUUGGAUGGGUAACAAACAAUUUAGUCUCCAGUGCGAAUCCUACAGAAAUAAGAACCUUUAUACCGAGUUGUAUCAUCAAGUUGUCAAUGUAAUUAUUGUCAGUUAAAACCACCCCUGCUUCAGCUGUCAUUUAUGUAGUGUGUUACUAGGUGACAAUUCCCUGUAAAUAGUUUUGCAUGUUGUCACCCUAAAUGUACUUAAUACUUUUCACUCCAAAGAAGAUGGCACAGUCUCUGCUACAACUUGCCAUAGUCAGUGUCUGUUUUUAAGGAAAUGUUUUGUUACAAAUUUUGAAACGUUUCAUUAUGCUGCUAUCAAGUCCUCUUGAUAAUUGUUAUUGCUUUCACAUAACUGUGCUGAGAGUUGUCUAUUAGGUUUAGGUUGUUGCAGUGAAAUAUUUUCAGGGGCAAGAAUUAAUUUGUGUUGACUUGGAUAGAAAUGGAAUUUUGUCGAAGAUUGUUGUUUGGCACCAGACAGAUAGUUUACUAUGUAUCACAAUAGUUGUGCCAUUUCACUUUAUUAAUAAAUCAGUAAACAUGUAGACCUGUGAGCUGGAUUUCUAAACAGUGUCAUGACUGCAAGAAUAGUUACUGGUAACCUUCAUUUGUCCUGGACCCAGAAACUUGCCGGAAACUGUUGUCACCCGAAACGAGAUUUCGCUUCACAGGCACUGUGAUUCAAAAUUGUUAUGCCCUUGUGAAGCUGUGAGACUGAGAGAGUGCCACUGAGAAAUAGUUUGAUGGGGUUCAAAAACAUGUUUUCUGUUAUUUGAGUUCUCAAACUUAUUGCAGUUUCUGAUAUAUGAAUUGUGGCGAUGGUAAUCUGUAUAAUUUUAGGUGUGCAGCCAGGGCACUGAAAAUACUUCACCUGUGCUAUUUCAAUAUUUACUGUGCCAUGUUCUGCAAAUCCAGCAUUAUUUUGAUCACUGAUGUUGGUAAUUUGUUUGAAUUUAUUUCUUGUGAUCAAGAUUGUCAUUUCACUGUACCAUUUCAGCAAACAUUUGGAAAAAAUAUUUCCAUGUGUUGUGUUAUGUAUUUUUCUAUUUUGAUAAUAAGAUUGAAUCAAAGCUCUGAUAUUGGUGCAAUGUUCUUUUUGCUGAACAAAAAGUCUGAGUCGACUAAUAUAACAUCCUGAAGAUCUAAUAUAGCUAAGCACAUGACAUUUGCUUUCAACAAAAUGUAUGAAUACAUUAGAAAUAAAAAUGUUGUUGUACCAGA